UAUUUAAAAUAACUGAUUCCGCUAGAGGCUUUUCUAGUAGAAGCGUCUAGCAUAGAAAUGUCGUUACAAGUUUAUAGAGUCCCGAUACAACGUUCCUUGUCUUCUAUAUUUCAUCAUCCGUCAUAUGCUAAAGUAGCGCAGAAGAAUUCCUAAAAAACGGUUUGAGCAAAUGGUAAGCAUUUUUUAUAAUUUUAUAUUUAAUAAUUUAAAAUCAUUGUUCUAAUUUUUAUCAACAUCUUAAAAAGUAUUGUUGCUAAAUUUAAGUGAUUAUUGAUCUCUAAUAACAAUUUUAUUAAGUAUAGUAUAACUAUUUCCAGUAUGUUUAACCCGCAAGCCUUAUUACCCUACCGUAGUAAAAUAAGGCCUACUCGCAAGGUUUUUGAAAAAAUUUAAUUUUGUGUUUGUUUAUGGUGAAAAUUACCAUUACUCCAUUAUAUUUUAUGGCUAAUGUAUUAAU